rnacentral:rRNA from 1 species
GACGAACGCUGGCGGCGUGCUUAACACAUGCAAGUCGAACGGAAAGGCCCUGCUUUUGUGGGGUGCUCGAGUGGCGAACGGGUGAGUAACACGUGAGUAACCUGCCCUUGACUUUGGGAUAACUUCAGGAAACUGGGGCUAAUACCGGAUAGGAGCUCCUGCUGCAUGUUGGGGGUUGGAAAGUUUCGGCGGUUGUGGAUGGUCUCGCGGCUUAUCAGCUUGUUGGUGGGGUAGUUGCUUACCAAGGCUUUGACGGGUAGCCGGCCUGAGAGGGGGACCGGCGACAUUGGGACUGAGAUACGGCGCAGAAGCCUAUGGGAGGCAGCAGGGGGGAGUAUUGCACAAUGGGCGGAAGCCUGAUGCGGCAACGCCGCGUGCGGGAUGACGGCCUUCGGGUUGUAAACCGCUUUCGCCUGUGACGAAGCGUGAGUGACGGUAAUGGGUAAAGAAGCACCGGCUAACUACGUG